AUUGGCAACAGCGUGAUUUGCGGAUGAGGAAGUUCCAGAGAAGAAACAGAACUGGAUGGAACAACUGUCAGUGAGCUGGAUAGGAGUAAUGGGGCCCACGUAGUCAAAGCGAUUUAUCCAGCGUCACACAGAGCAUGAACACCAGAAAGACUGGGUGGGCAACAGAUGAAACAGCUCUUUGUUGCUCUCAAGACCGGUUUCUCUGUAAUGAUUUUGUCCCAGGUAAAUGGGCCAUGCUUAGCAAUGUUCUUUUUUAGCUAUAUCAUUUCAAUUAACAAUAGUCAUGUUUAUUUUACGCAUUUACAAAUGAUAUUGGUUUAAAUUGUCAUGGCUGUGGAAAAGUACGGGAGAGUGUCGGACAAUAAUUUAAUAACAGCAGAUGCUGAGCUACAAAAAAGUUAAAGCUUUAAAAAUUGUUCAGCCAGAAAUUGUCAACACCACCUGUCAAAAUAGACAAAGUAAAUACUCUUAAAUCAACCAGUCCCACCCGUUUUUACUAUUUGUUCACCAGCUAUUUACUCAUUUGUAACAAGCGUAAUUGAAAAGGCUAAGUCACUGGAUUUUGGUGCUAAUAAUUCUCAGUCAGCAUUUUUUGUACUUUGCCUGUCUGUAAAUGUUGAAUAUUAUUGAUGGAAAUAUUUUUUUGUCGGUUUG